rnacentral:rRNA from 1 species
UGUGGUGGCGAUAGCCUGAAGGAUACACCUGUUCCCAUGCCGAACACAGAAGUUAAGCUUCAGCACGCCGAUAGUAGUUG